UUAACUCUGAUUUGAAAAAUUCUUAUCUGAAAUGAGUUUAAUAAUAGUAAUUCACCCAAAAAGGAUUGGAUAUUACUUCUCCUGACUCGGCUCCACUAACAGUUAUUAUAUUUAUGUAUGAAAUACUCUACCAGUCAGACUGAUGAACUCCUCAAUGCUGGACUGCAAACAUGAAAACUGAAAGAGACAAAGAAGACUCUUGACUCACAACUUUCUGGAUUACCUCGUUGCCAUAAAGAAAUUUAAUGUCGUUUUCAGAUUUUAAAGGACAUGAAUAGUACUUUCUUUAUUUGAAGAUGGGACAAGUGAUGCACAGAAACUGGUGGCUGUCUAGCAAGUGGAUCUGAAGAUUCAGUAAUCAUUAUUUAUUUGAUGUUAUCCCCAUUGACCUACAGUAACUUAUGACAGUGGGAUGAUGCUCUGUAUUUCAUGGAAAACUAUCUGCAAGAUGCAGAGCAUAAAUCACUUAAGGGUAAAGAAUAUAAUUACACCCAUGAAUCUCACCAAGUUGAUCCUCAUGCAUAAAUUUAAACUCAUACUAAAAUGUGUGUAGACCCAGAACUUGAGGAGCUGUAUGAGCUGUAUUUUGUUUUAUUCAGAGAACCAGCAAAAUAUUAGUGUACUUCUAUGAUGACAAGUAUGUUCUUGGAAUAGAUUUUAAUGGUAUAUUGAUUCUCUAUCUGAAUGAA